ACCUUUCUGAGGGCACCAUUACCACAGCUACGUAGCAUCACUGUACAGACAAUAUGGAGCUCUGAUCAGCAAGGCAUGAGUGUUCAGUGGAUGGACUCCAUCUGUACGUUACGCCUAUGUCAGGAAUCUGCUAGUUGGCAAAGACCAGCGGGUCUUCAAGUGCAGCCUCAAGAUGCCACUCAAAGCAAUGAGAGGGUUGGCUCACAGCGCCUGUCCAUCCCCUGGAUGUCCUCUGGACGUGGGAUUCCUUCUCCAGCCUGUCGGUGGCCCAAACACUAAGGGCUCAAAGAUGCCAGUGAGGACCUCAUUCUCAUGGCUGCUGCUCGAAGGCCUCGAGGAUGUGGUUUCUUUAAUGGGACAGAGUUUGAGGGGCCCAUAAUACCAGCUAUUCCUGGACCCGACCUGUGGAUUCAACCUGUGACCCAUGUACUCAAUCUGAAACUGCUUAAGAAGUUCUCAAAUAAAAUCUAUUUUACAGUG